CCUCACUCUUAUGCUGUUUGAGCCACUGGUUAAGACGCCGGCUUUACUGGCAUCUUUCUGUUUUAUUCUUCAACUACAAAGCCUGAGCAGGACGGGCUCUCCUGAAGAAAGAACAAGGAGAUGAAGACAGGAGUCUGCAAAGGUACCACAGAGGACACAGAGGAGGCAGCAACUGUACUGAAGAUUACAUCCACGGUGCUGAAGAGUGACAGAAGAAUGCGCGUCGGACCAAGCAGUUGUCAUCAUCAAACCAACCAUCAGUUGAACCGCUAGAUGAACCACUAGACCUACUAGAAUGUGAACCACCAGAGGAACCACCAAACCAACCACCAAAGGAACCACCAAACCAGCCACCAAAGGAACUAGCAGAUCCCCCACCAAAGGAACCACCAGACCAACCAACAGACCAACCAUUAACCAGAAAAGCACAAUUGUAAUUUCCCCCUGCGUUGUCAGGUUGGUUUGACAUCCACUUGAUGUCAGAAACGCUAGUGUUGUCUGACCACUUCCAAGAGUCUCUGUAUAAGCCAAUCCAGGGAUGCACACUUGACAUAUAUGACAUGAUGUCUGUGUUCUCGGCUUCAUCUCUUGGGCAGGCAAGAUCUGUGUAGUGCUGUCUGCAGUAAGCUUGAGCCUCCUGCCAUGUCCUUUCAGCGUCAGAGAUGUAAAUGAACUUGGAAAUGCCAGUGCUCUUUGCUUCAAACAGAUUCAAACAGAUUAAAUGAAUUGUGCUGACUGAUUCUUUGUAAUGAAAUUGUGCAAAUGGAAAAUAACUGUGGAUAUUAUAGUUACCUUUUAUGAAUCUGUGCUAAGCAGUUCUAAAGAUUUUAAACACGUUUACACUAAAUUAAAGAUUUAUAGAUCACAAUUACAAA